rnacentral:rRNA from 1 species
UUGGAGAGUUUGAUCCUGGCUCAGGACGAACGCUGGCGGCGUGCUUAACACAUGCAAGUCGAACGGAAAGGCCCUUUCGGGGGUACUCGAGUGGCGAACGGGUGAGUAACACGUGGGUGAUCUGCCCUGCACUUUGGGAUAAGCCUGGGAAACUGGGUCUAAUACCGAAUACACCCUGCUGGUCGCAUGGCCUGGUGGGGGAAAGCUUUUGCGGUGUGGGAUGGGCCCGCGGCCUAUCAGCUUGUUGGUGGGGUGAUGGCCUACCAAGGCGACGACGGGUAGCCGGCCUGAGAGGGUGUCCGGCCACACUGGGACUGAGAUACGGCCCAGACUCCUACGGGAGGCAGCAGUGGGGAAUAUUGCACAAUGGGCGCAAGCCUGAUGCAGCGACGCCGCGUGAGGGAUGACGGCCUUCGGGUUGUAAACCUCUUUCAGUACCGACGAAGCGCAAGUGACGGUAGGUACAGAAGAAGCACCGGCCAACUACGUGCCAGCAGCCGCGGUAAUACGUAGGGUGCGAGCGUUGUCCGGAAUUACUGGGCGUAAAGAGCUCGUAGGUGGUUUGUCGCGUUGUUCGUGAAAACUCACAGCUUAACUGUGGGCGUGCGGGCGAUACGGGCAGACUGGAGUACUGCAGGGGAGACUGGAAUUCCUGGUGUAGCGGUGGAAUGCGCAGAUAUCAGGAGGAACACCGGUGGCGAAGGCGGGUCUCUGGGCAGUAACUGACGCUGAGGAGCGAAAGCGUGGGGAGCGAACAGGAUUAGAUACCCUGGUAGUCCACGCCGUAAACGGUGGGUACUAGGUGUGGGUUUCCUUCCUUGGGAUCCGUGCCGUAGCUAACGCAUUAAGUACCCCGCCUGGGGAGUACGGCCGCAAGGCUAAAACUCAAAGGAAUUGACGGGGGCACAAGCGGCGGAGCAUGUGGAUUAAUUCGAUGCAACGCGAAGAACCUUACCUGGGUUUGACAUGCACAGGACGCCGGCAGAGAUGUCGGUUCCCUUGUGGCCUGUGUGCAGGUGGUGCAUGGCUGUCGUCAGCUCGUGUCGUGAGAUGUUGGGUUAAGUCCCGCAACGAGCGCAACCCUUGUCUCAUGUUGCCAGCGGGUAAUGCCGGGGACUCGUGAGAGACUGCCGGGGUCAACUCGGAGGAAGGUGGGGAUGACGUCAAGUCAUCAUGCCCCUUAUGUCCAGGGCUUCACACAUGCUACAAUGGCCGGUACAAAGGGCUGCGAUGCCGUGAGGUGGAGCGAAUCCUUUCAAAGCCGGUCUCAGUUCGGAUCGGGGUCUGCAACUCGACCCCGUGAAGUCGGAGUCGCUAGUAAUCGCAGAUCAGCAACGCUGCGGUGAAUACGUUCCCGGGCCUUGUACACACCGCCCGUCACGUCAUGAAAGUCGGUAACACCCGAAGCCGGUGGCCUAACCCCUUGUGGGAGGGAGCCGUCGAAGGUGGGAUCGGCGAUUGGGACGAAGUCGUAACAAGGUAGCCGUACCGGAAGGUGCGGCUGGAUCACCUCCUUU